UACGUAGGGUGCGAGCGUUGUCCGGAUUCAUUGGGCGUAAAGGGCGCGUAGGCGGCGUGACAAGUCACUUGUGAAAUCUCCGGGCUUAACUCGGAGCGGCCAAGUGAUACUGUCGUGCUAGAGUGCGGAAGGGGCUACUGGAAUUCUCGGUGUAGCGGUGAAAUGCGUAGAUAUCGAGAGGAACACCUGCGGCGAAGGCGGGUAGCUGGGCCGACACUGACGCUGAGGCGCGAAAGCUAGGGGAGCGAACGGG
rnacentral:rRNA from 1 species